rnacentral:rRNA from 1 species
CUCUGCGCAAGGGAUCUUUUGGUUCGCUAGACGAAGAAGGGCGCAGCGGAAUGCGAAAUGUGCAGGAGCAGCAGCGAAGAUAGCACAUGCCUGAAAUCACGAGAGUGA